rnacentral:rRNA from 1 species
UGGGGAAUUUUGGACAAUGGGCGAAAGCCUGAUCCAGCAAUGCCGCGUGUGUGAAGAAGGCCUUCGGGUUGUAAAGCACUUUUGUCCGGAAAGAAAUCCUUGGCUCUAAUACAGUCGGGGGAUGACGGUACCGGAAGAAUAAGCACCGGCUAACUACGUGCCAGCAGCCGCGGUAAUACGUAGGGUGCAAGCGUUAAUCGGAAUUACUGGGCGUAAAGCGUGCGCAGGCGGUUUGCUAAGACCGAUGUGAAAUCCCCGGGCUCAACCUGGGAACUGCAUUGGUGACUGGCAGGCUAGAGUAUGGCAGAGGGGGGUAGAAUUCCACGUGUAGCAGUGAAAUGCGUAGAGAUGUGGAGGAAUACCGAUGGCGAAGGCAGCCCCCUGGGCCAAUACUGACGCUCAUGCACGAAAGCGUGGGGAGCAAACAGGAUUAGAUACCCUGGUAGUCCACGCCCUAAACGAUGUCAACUAGUUGUGGGAUUCAUUCCUUAGUAACGUAGCUAACGCGUGAAGUUGACCGCCUGGGGAGUACGGUCGCAAGAUUAAAACUCAAAGGAAUUGACGGGGUCAUAGCUGUUUCCU